GGUGUGGACGUUGGUGUGCAGGUGUUGGUGUGCAGGUGUUGGUGUGGACGUUGGUGUGCAGGUGUUGGUGUGGAUAUUGGUGUGCAGGUGUUGGUGUGGACAUUGGUGUGCAGGUGUUGGUGUGGAUAUUGGUGUGCAGGUGUUGGUGUGGAUGUUGGUGUGCAGGUGUUGGUGUGGACGUUGGUGUGCAGGUGCUGGUGUGGACGUUGGUGUGCAGGUGUUGGUGUGCAGGUGUUGGUGUGGACGUUGGUGUGCAGGUGUUGGUGUGGAUAUUGGUGUGCAGGUGUUGGUGUGGACAUUGGUGUGCAGGUGUUGGUGUGGAUAUUGGUGUGCAGGUGUUGGUGUGGAUAUUGGUGUGCAGGUGUUAGUGUGCAGGUGUUGGUGUGGAUGUUGGUGUGGGUGUUGGUGUGCAGGUGUUGGUGUGCAGGUGUUGGUG
rnacentral:lncRNA from 1 species